rnacentral:rRNA from 1 species
UACGGGGGGGGCAAGCGUUGUUCGGAAUUACUGGGCGUAAAGGGCUCGUAGGUGGCCAACUAAGUCGGACGUGAAAUCCCUCGGCUUAACCGGGGAACUGCGUCUGAUACUGGAUGGCUUGAGUUCGGGAGAGGGAUGCGGAAUUCCAGGUGUAGCGGUGAAAUGCGUAGAUAUCUGGAGGAACACCGGUGGCGAAGGCGGCAUCCUGGACCGACACUGAUGCUGAGGAGCGAAAGCCAGGGGAGCAAACGGG